AGGUGUCCCCAAUAAAGUGGGUCCUCCCUGGUACUAGGUAUGUGUACCUAAUCAAGUGGGUCCUCCCCGGUAUUAGCUAGAUGUCCCCAAUAAAGUGGGUCCUCCCUGGUACUAGGUAUGUGUACCUAAUAAAGUGGGUCCUCCCUGGUAUUAGCUAGAUGUCCCCAAUAAAGUGGGUCCUCCCUGGUACUAGGUAUGUGUACCUAAUAAAGUGGGUCCUCCCUGGUAUUAGCUAGAUGUCCCCAAUAAAGUGGGUCCUCCCUGGUACUAGGUAUGUGUACCUAAUAAAGUGGGUCCUCCCUGGUACUAGGUAUGUGUACCUAAUAAAGUGGGUCCUCCCCGGUAUUAGCUAAAUGUCCCCAAUAAAGUGGGUC